rnacentral:rRNA from 1 species
UGACUGGGGCGGUCUCCUCCUAAAGAGUAACGGAGGAGCACGAAGGUUGGCUAAUCCUGGUCGGACAUCAGGAGGUUAGUGCAAUGGCAUAAGCCAGCUUGACUGCGAGCGUGACGGCGCGAGCAGGUGCGAAAGCAGGUCAUAGUGAUCCGGUGGUUCUGAAUGGAAGGGCCAUCGCUCAACGGAUAAAAGGUACUCCGGGGAUAACAGGCUGAUACCGCCCAAGAGUUCAUAUCGACGGCGGUGUUUGGCACCUCGAUGUCGGCUCAUCACAUCCUGGGGCUGAAGUAGGUCCCAAGGGUAUGGCUGUUCGCCAUUUAAAGUGGUACGCGAGCUGGGUUUAGAACGUCGUGAGACAGUUCGGUCCCUAUCUGCCGUGGGCGCUGGAGAACUGAGGGGGGCUGCUCCUAGUACGAGAGGACCGGAGUGGACGCAUCACUGGUGUUCGGGUUGUCAUGCCAAUGGCACUGCCCGGUAGCUAAAUGCGGAAGAGAUAAGUGCUGAAAGCAUCUAAGCACGAAACUUGCCCCGAGAUGAGUUCUCCCUGAGACUUUAGGUCUCCUGAAGGAACGUUGAAGACGACGACGUUGAUAGGCCGGGUGUGUAAGCGCAGCGAUGCGUUGAGCUAACCGGUACUAAUGAACCGUGAGGCUUAACCUU